GCCCCUGUAGCUCAGAGGAUAGAGCACCGGUUUCCUAAACCGGGUGUCCCGUGUUCGAAUCACGGCAGGGGCGCCA
rnacentral:tRNA from 4 species